GACGAACGCUGGCGGCGUGCUUAACACAUGCAAGUCGAACGAAGUGGCGAACGGGUGAGUAACGCGUAAUCAACCUGCCCUUCAGAGGGGGACAACAGUUGGAACCGACUGCUAAUACCGCAUACUGAAGGAGGGGAUUGAGUCUGCUUAGCUAGUUGGCGGGGUAACGGCCCACCAAGGCGAUGAUCAGUAGCCGGUCUGGGAGGAUGAACGGCCCCAUUGGGACUGAGACACGGCCCAGACUCCUACGGGGGGGAGCAGUGGGGAAUCUUCCGCAAUGGAGCAAAGUCUUACGGAGCAACGCCGCGUGAGUGAUGACGGCCUUCGGGUUUGAAAGCUCUGUUAAUCGGGACGCGGUACCGGAAGAGAAAGCCACGGCUAACUACGUGCCAGCAGCCGCGGUAAUUC
rnacentral:rRNA from 1 species